rnacentral:lncRNA from 1 species
UAGGGUCCUAAAACGUCUUUGUCUAAAUUUAAUUCUCCACAUUUGUACUAUUUGCAGUCUUGCUUGUUGAUGUAGAUUUUAGACAACAAGAGACAUGGGAUGGGUUUCUUCGUAUACAGUGCCCAGAAAUGGGAUAUUUCUUUGCUGAACCCCUAGAUGCCAUAGUAUUACAAACAGCAAUUGUUUGCAACCUGGAUAUAAAAACAUAAUACAGCUGAGACUUUGAGUUCAUCUACUUUCAUAGAGAGUGAUAGAAGGAAAAAGGAGAAAGAAAUAUAUAUUUAUAUAUAUAUAUAUGUAUACAUAUAUAGGGUAGCUGUAAAGGGUGCAGCAGCUUGGACAGGUAGAAUAGGCAGCUCUAUCUCGAAACCCCCUUUUGCUGCCGAGAUGCUUGGAGCCGCCAGGUGCCGCUGUUGCAUCUCCCGAUCCGCCGAGCCAGGGAACUGGUGGUGGGUGCACCGAGCUGUCCCCUGGCAUGUCACAGCGCGACGUCCCCUCCUCUGCUACCGUGGCAGGGGUCUGAGGCAACGCUUUCUUCUAGAUGCAUGGGUUUCUUUCUUGACUAUGUCAAGCUGUUGAAAAAUUCCCUGGAAGGCUGCAUAGGGAAUUUAAAUACAAACAAGCAAAACAAAACUAAACACCCACCUGUUAUUGAAAUAGUCUACAUUGACUUUUUUUUUUUUUUUUUAAUUAAAAUUCAAGCUUAAGAGAGAAAUUUCCUUUCCCUGUUUGAAGAAAAUCUUUGUUGUCAUUUGUAUGUCACAGUGAUAAACGUGAUACAAAUCACUAAAUAAAUAUAAAAUUAAACAAGGGCAAGUCACUAUCCAUAAGACACUGAGAAUUUUGAAACUUUUUAGCAUGUGCAUUAUUGCUCAAUUCAUUGUUUUGUUUUUAUUUUUUAAUACAAGCAGGCGGGAUGCAAGCCUCCCCCACCUCAAGCACUACUGAAGGCCAGGAAGAAUCCUGCAGAACAGCCCAAAUGGUGUACAACAGGUCUCUUCCAACAUCUAACAUAAAUACAGAUCUCGUUUCUGAGGAACACCUAGUGCUGGUUAAAUUUAUUCUAUGUUUGAGAAUCCAGCCCAUUGCUUGUGACAUGAUAGAGAACUGGAAGAACACCCUCCAUCCGCAAACAUAUGUGAUUAAAGCAAACAGGAAGAAAGAAUAAAGUGUUUACCCCCGAGCCCUAGAUUUGAAAAGAAUGGUUUCUGGCAGGAGUCCACAAGAAGCAGAAACUGACUGAAAGAUAAAAGCCAGCACUAUUGGCAUCCGUACCAGGUACAGAAGAGGUGGAUCAGAGGCAACCAAACAGGAACAGAGACCUCCAUUUAUCUCUUGCAAUGAAACAGAAUAUAAAUGAAACUUGGCAUCAGUGUGAAAGGAUGGUUUGAUGUUAAACUGCACCAAGUCCCAAGGAAAAAAAAAUAAUUAAAAUAAAGUAAAAUAAAAUAAAAUAAAAUAAAAUAAA